ACGCCGCCCUUCACGUCCGCGUGUGUGGUUGUGCAAUCCUCCAGCCCUAUAAAGGCGGUGAACCUGCCGCCUCUGGAGCCUCUGGAGCCCAGCCUCCCCUGAGUCUCCCUCCCCGGGCCUCCGGCUGCCUGCCGCCACCAUGAGGGUCCUCCGCCUGCUGCUGCUGGCCCUUGGCCUGCUCCUCUCCCAGCUGGGCCCAGGUGCCUGCCAUCUGACGAUUCUCGGCCAGCGGACUGACAGCUACAUAUGUGCCAGGAAAGGGGGGACCUGCAAUCUGUCGCCCUGCCCACUCUACAACAGGAUUGAAGGCACCUGCUACAAGGGCAAAGCCAAGUGCUGCAUCCGUUGACUCUGAGCUGGGAGCGAUGGCAGAGGGGAUGAGGAGCCAUAUGAAGUAUUUGUAACCAUUGUUUUAAUAAAAGGAUUUUGUGAGGCAUACGUCCUUGAGCCCAGAA